rnacentral:rRNA from 1 species
GACGAACGCUGGCGGCGUGCCUAAUACAUGCAAGUAGGACGCAGUUGCGAACGGGUGAGUAACGCGUAGGUAACUGCCUCUUAGAGGGGGAUAACUAUUGGAAACGAUAGCUAAUACCGCAUACUAGUAGAUGGACCUGAGUUGUAUUAGCUAGUAGGUAGGGUAAUGGCCUACCAAGGCAACGAUACAUAGCCGACCUGAGAGGUGGAUCGGCCACACUGGGACUGAGACACGACCCAGACUCCUACGGGAGGCAGCAGUAGGGAAUCUUCUGGAAUGGGGGGAACCCUGACCGAGCAACGCCGCGUGAGUGAAGAAGGUUUUCGGAUCGUAAAGCUCUGUUGUUAGGGAAGCGGUACUUAACCAGAAAGGGACGGCUAACUACGUGCCAGCAGCCGCGGUAAUAC